rnacentral:rRNA from 1 species
GUCAUCCAUACGCCAAUCCAUAACGUAUGGAAGGGAACCCGGUGAACUGAAACAUCUAAGUAGCCGGAGGAAGAGAAAACAACAAGUGAUUCUGUGAGUAGCGGCGAGCGAAAACGGAAGAGCCCAAACCGGAAUGCGUGCAUUCCGGGGUUCGGACCGCGUAAUUGAUCUGAUAAGUUUAGCAGAAUGGUUUUGGGAAAGCCAGCCAGAGAGGGUGAAAGCCCCGUAAGCGAAAGACGAGUCAGCAAGGCGGGAUCCAGAGUACCACGAGACACGAGAAACCUUGUGGGAAUGAGCGGGGACCACCCCGUAAGGCUAAAUACUCCUUAGUGACCGAUAGCGCAUAGUACUGUGAAGGAAAGGUGAAAAGGACCCCGGGAGGGGAGUGAAAGAGAACCUGAAACCCUGUGUUUACAAGCUGUGGAACAUCUUUAUAUGAUGAACCGCGUACUUUUUGUAGAACGGUCCGGCGAGUUACGCCAUCUGGCGAGGUUAAGUUCUUAAGGAAUGGAGCCGAAGUGAAAACAAGUCUUAAUAGGGCGUUAAGUCAGAUGGAGUAGACCCGAAACCGGGUGAUCUAUCCAUGUCCAGGAUGAAGUUGCCGUAAAAGGCAAUGGAGGUCCGAACCCACAUCCGUUGAAAAGGGUGGGGAUGAGGUGUGGAUAGGGGAGAAAUUCCAAUCGAACCCGGAGAUAGCUGGUUCUCCUCGAAAUAGCUUUAGGGCUAGCCUCAUGAGAGUCUUUUGGAGGUAGAGCACUGAAUUCCCGCGGGGGCGUCAAAGCUUACCAAAGGAUAUCAAACUCCGAAUGCCAGUAAGAUGAUUCAUGGGAGUCAGACUACACGAGAUAAGUUGGGUAGUCAAAAGGGAAAGAGCCCAGACCUGCAGCUAAGGUCCCAAAAUGUGUGUUAAGUGGAAAAGGAUGUGGGAUUUCAAAGACAACCAGGAUGUUGGCUUAGAAGCAGCCAUACAUUAAAAGAGUGCGUAAUAGCUCACUGGUCGAGAGGUCCUGCGCCGAAAAUGUCCGGGGCUGAAACACACUACCGAAGCUCAGGAAUUAACGUAGUUAAUUGGUAGAGGAGCAUUCUUAAAGGGAAGAAGCAGUACCGGAAGGAGCUGUGGACUUUUAAGAAGAGAGAAUGCCGGAAUGAGUAGCGAGAGGAAGGUGAGAAUCCUUCCGGCCGAAUAUCCAAGGUUUCCAGAGUAAAGCUGAUCUGCUCUGGGUAAGUCGGGGCCUAAGGUGAGGUCGAAAGACGUAGCCGAUGGACAACAGGUUGAAAUUCCUGUACUGCAGUAUAACAGAACUGUGGGGACGCAGAGGGAGAGCACUAGCGGGAAUGGAAUCCCGUGGCAAGCGAGGUAGGAGUAGAGUUGGCAAAUCCGCUCUAUAAUCCGAAGACGUGAUGCAUACCGAAUUAAAGUAGGGAAAUGUGUGAGCCAGCUGCCAAGAAAAGCCGCUAUUGUUUGUACUGUACCCGUACCGUAAACCGACACAGGUAGGUGAGGAGAGAAUCCUAAGGCCGACGGGAGAAGCAUUGUUAAGGAACUCGGCAAAAUGACUCCGUAACUUCGGGAGAAGGAGUGCCAUGCGAAUGGCCGCAGAGAAUUGGCCCAAGCAACUGUUUAGCAAAAACACAGGUCUAUGCAAAACCGUAAGGUGAAGUAUAUGGGCUGACGCCUGCCCGGUGCUGGAAGGUUAAGGGGAGAGGUUAGCGCAAGCGAAGCUUUGAACUUAAGCCCCAGUAAACGGCGGCCGUAACUAUAACGGUCCUAAGGUAGCGAAAUUCCUUGUCGGGUAAGUUCCGACCCGCACGAAAGGCGUAAUGAUUUGAGCGCUGUCUCGACAAUGCAUCCGGUGAAAUUGAAGUACCAGUGAAGAUGCUGGUUACC